UGUGCGAAGCUCCAGAGAAACUUAGAAAGAAAGGCUCUGGAAAACAAAGACUUACCAUCUGCGAGAGAGAGGAGUUUACCAUGGAACAUUUUAGGAAAAUAGAAUGAAAUGUUCUUCCAAGUUGAACAGCAUCACAGCUGGAGAAACAGUGCCAAUUGGAGCAGAUGCUUGGGAGAGUGCCUCCAUGGGGAGCUGAAAAGCGUUCAAGGCCUCUUCUAAGUUGAUGGUGCUCCCAGGGCUGAUGGAAGAGUUUCGGAGUAGAGAGAGCCAUGGAGACCUUUCAAUUAGCCGGGAGGCCCUUGUGUUGGAUUUGAGAAGAAAUCAGAAAAAGAUCAAUUAGCUGUAAGAGUUGUUCUUUUGUUCUUUUGUUCCUUGCAUGUAGCAGGCGCUGAAAAGCUAUGGAUUUGAAUAAAGGAAUGUUUAUUCUAA